CCGACCUUAGCUCAGUUGGUAGAGCGGAGGACUGUAGUACGUUGCAGAAAAAUCCUUAGGUCACUGGUUCGAAUCCGGUAGGUCGGA
rnacentral:tRNA from 1 species